GAUGAACGCUGGCGGCGUGCUUAACACAUGCAAGUCGAGCGGAGUUAUUUUGGAAGCUUGCUUUUAAGAUAACUUAGCGGCGGACGGGUGAGUAACGUGUGGGCAACCUGCCCCGUACAGUGGAAUAAUCACUUGAAAAGGUGACUAAUACCGCAUGUCGUCAUUUUGCCGUAUGGCAGAAUGAAAAAAGGAGUAAUCCGGUACGGGAUGGGCCCGCAUCUGAUUAGCUAGUUGGUGUGAUAACAGCGCACCAAGGCGACGAUCAGUAGCCGCGCUGGGAGGGUGAUCGGCCACAUUGGGACUGAGACACGGCCCAAACUCCUACGGGAGGCAGCAGUGGGGAAUAUUGCACAAUGGGGGAAACCCUGAUGCAGCAACGCCGCGUGAAGGAAGGAGGGUUUCGGCUCGUAAACUUCUAUCAACAGGGAAGAAAUAAAUGACGGUACCUGAAUAAGAAGCCCCGGCUAACUACGUGCCAGCAGCCGCCGUAAGAC
rnacentral:rRNA from 1 species